rnacentral:rRNA from 1 species
GGCCAGCAGCCGCGGUAAUACAGAGGUCCCGAGCGUUGUUCGGAUUCACUGGGCGUAAAGGGUGCGUAGGUGGUGAGGUAAGUCGGAUGUGAAAGCUCGGAGCUCAACUCCGAAAUGGCAUUGGAAACUACCUUGCUUGAGGAUUGGAGGGGGGACUGGAAUACUUGGUGUAGCAGUGAAAUGCGUAGAUAUCAAGUGGAACACCAGUGGCGAAGGCGAGUCCCUGGACAAUACCUGACACUGAGGCACGAAAGCUAGGGGAGCAAACAGGAUUAGAUACCCUGGUAGUCCUAGCCGUAAACGGUGCAUGCUUGCUGUAAAAGGAAUCGACCCCUUUUGUGGCGGAGCCAACGCGUUAAGCAUGCCGCCUGGGAAGUACGGUCGCAAGAUUAAAACUCAAAGGAAUUGACGGGGGCCCGCACA